rnacentral:tRNA from 1 species
UCCGUGGUGGCUCAGAUGGUAAAGCGUCUGCCUGCAAUGCAGGAGACUCAGGUUCAAUCCCUGGGUUGGGAA